UCAUCUUUAAGCUUAUUAAUUUUUUAUGUACUUUCUCUUGAUAAGAAUAUUAAGGGAAAUCAAAUU
rnacentral:sRNA from 1 species